rnacentral:rRNA from 1 species
GGAAGUAAAAGUCGUAACAAGGUUUCCGUAGGUGAACCUGCGGAAGGAUCAUUAAUGAAUGAAUGUAGAGGACGGCUGUAGCUGGCCCGCCUGGGGUACGUGCACGCCUCCUCUUUCAUCCACACACCCCUGUGCACUUGUUAGAUGGAGACCUUUGUAGACUCUCUCUUCCUUGGAGAGGAGUCGGUCUCCGUCUGCCAUCACACACACACUCACAUGUAUUAAAAAUGAAUGUCGUUGAUGUAGACGCAUCUAAAUAUUCUAAGUUUCAACAACGGAUCUCUUGGCUCUCGCAUCGAUGAAGAACGCAGCGAAAUGCGAUAAGUAAUGUGAAUUGCAGAAUUCAGUGAAUCAUCGAAUCUUUGAACGCACCUUGCGCUCCUUGGUAUUCCUUGGAGCAUGCCUGUUUGAGUAUCAUGAAAUUAUCAAAGCCAGUCUUUUGUUGACUCAAUGGACUGUGCUUUGGACUUGGAGGUCUCUGCAGAUUCACGUCUGCUCCUCUUGAACACAUUAGCUGGAUCUCUGUAAGCUUGGUUCCACUCGGCGUGAUAAGUAUCGACCGCUGAGGACACUUCUGUAAAGAGGUGGCCAGGAGUGUAGAUGAGCCGCUUCCAAUAGUCCAUUUACUUGGACAGUUACUUUAUGAUCUGAUCUCAAAUCAGGUAGGAC